rnacentral:lncRNA from 1 species
AUGCUCCCACGCACACAUGCUCCCACAGGGUUCCAGGCACACACAUGCUCCCACGCGUGCACUUGUGAACACGUGAACACGCACAUGUGCACACACAGAGCACGUUACAAAGUGGAAUGGGAUUCUGAAAUCUGCAGAAUUCUGCAAACGAAAGAUGUGGAAAAUGAUGUUGCUGCUCUUAAUUCCUGCACCUACGCAGGAAGGGGAGUUAGAGAGGAGGAGAGAACUUUCCAGAGUGCUGUUACCGUGCCAACCACAUCCCCUUGGGAGGGGCAUGCAUGGGGCCAUCCUGAAUGCCGAUGCUGUAACCCCUGCAUUUGGGAAUCCGAGUGCACGGGGCAUCAGCUACCCCCGGGGAACCCAAAGGCUGAGAGACGGCCGCACGGGAGAGGGGACUGUGCCACCGGGCCUGCGCCUCCCAAGGCUUUCAGGAGAAAGCGUGUGUGGACAGCUGCCACAGACCAGACGUGCGCCAUGGGAAGGAGAAGCCGUCGUGUUGUCCUGGGCGUCACCCGGAGGAAGGAGGCCCUCAGCAGGCGGAAGCUGAAGAUGCUACCAGGAGGAGGAAAGAGCACCGAGGGGGAGGAAAUGUCCUUGCUCCCAGGGGAGCGGCCGGGGCGGAACCCCCACGGCUGGACCCAGAGUUGGCCGAGUCAUACCAAGAAGCUCAGUGCGGGGCGCUGCGGCCGGGCACGCGGUGGGGGAGGGGAGUGGCUUCUGCUGGGCUCAGCCGCCAGGGUGUGUGAGCGGCCCCCACAGCCUGAGCACGCCCACCCCGGGCGCUGUGACAAAGACGAGGCGACAGGGGGUUCUCCAUCAGGGGCAGUCCUUCCCGCGGGGCCACCAGCGCGAUUCCAUGGUUACCGCUUCCAGGAGCCAGGCAGAAGGGUGGGGCUGGGGCCACGGGAAGGAACUUCACAGGUGUGCAGGUGCAGCCAGGGUGGGGGGCGGGACACUGAGCCCAGUCAGGGAAGCUCCCGCGAGGUGGCGAGGUCUACGCUGAGGCUGAGCGGGACAUGGAGGCAGAGAAGGGAAUGCGGGGAAGUGGGGAGCAGAACGCGGAGUGGGAGGCCCAGGAGAGGGAGGUGGGGCAGGGGUAGUUGCGUUAGGUUCCAUCUUCGUCUAAAAUCAGAGGUGGGGAAACUUUUUUUUUUCCCGUAG